rnacentral:rRNA from 1 species
AGUCUGACGGAGCACGCCGCGUGAACGAUGAAGGCUUUCGGGUCGUAAAGUUCUGUUGUUAGGGAAGAACAAGUACCGGAGUAACUGCCGGUACCUUGACGGUACCUAACCAGAAAGCCACGGCUAACUACGUGCCAGCAGCCGCGGUAAUACGUAGGUGGCAAGCGUUGUCCGGAAUUAUUGGGCGUAAAGCGCGCGCAGGCGGUUCCUUAAGUCUGAUGUGAAAGCCCCCGGCUCAACCGGGGAGGGUCAUUGGAAACUGGGGAACUUGAGUGCAGAAGAGGAGAGCGGAAUUCCACGUGUAGCGGUGAAAUGCGUAGAGAUGUGGAGGAACACCAGUGGCGAAGGCGGCUCUCUGGUCUGUAACUGACGCUGAGGCGCGAAAGCGUGGGGAGCGAACAGGAUUAGAUACCCUGGUAGUCCACGCCGUAAACGAUGAGUGCUAAGUGUUAGAGGGUUUCCGCCCUUUAGUGCUGCAGCAAACGCAUUAAGCACUCCGCCUGGGGAGUACGGCCGCAAGGCUGAAACUCAAAUG